GGGUGAUGAUGAGAGGAUUGCAUGGAAAGAAGUGGUAUCACAAGAUGAAUACAUCACUGCCACCCAUUCAACAACAUUAACAGUCCCUGACAUUCCUGCUGAGGAGUUCCUGAAGAAACACUGGGCUAAACUAAUUCAGCGAACCAAAA